rnacentral:rRNA from 1 species
UACGUAGGGGGCAAGCGUUGUCCGGAAUCAUUGGGCGUAAAGAGCGUGUAGGCGGCUCGAUAAGUCUGCUGUGAAAGUCCAGGGCUCAACCCUGGAAGGCCGGUGGAAACUGUCGGGCUAGAGUCCGGAAGAGGCGAGUGGAAUUCCCGGUGUAGCGGUGAAAUGCGCAGAUAUCGGGAGGAACACCGGUGGCGAAGGCGGGUCUCUGGGCAGUAACUGACGCUGAGGAGCGAAGCGUGGGGAGCGAACAGG